ensembl:lincRNA Gm26565 predicted gene, 26565
GAAGUUGUGGAGUCCAUGCUCUCCCAAAGAUCAAAAGUGAAGUCUCAAGGUGGGAAGUCGUUGGUGUGUCUUUUGGUUGCAGUAGGUUUCUCUCGUGUCACUUGGGUAGAGAGGAAUGAAGGCAGCCAACAGCACUGUCCUUGCACUUGAUCUUGCUGUAUGUCAAACAUGGAACCAGGAUGGAGUUACAACUACAAAGUUCUGCAGAGGGGCUCAUGACCCAGGGAUGUGCCCUGAAAUAAUAUAUUAACCACCAAACGUAUUGUUUUGAAGACUUGUUAUAGUUAGUGUUUCUAUGGCUGUGAAGAGACAUCAUGACCACAGCAAUACUUACAAAGCAAAACAUUUCAUUCAGGAUGGCUUACAGUUCAGAGUACUGUGGCAGUGCAUAGGUAGACAUAUUCUGGAGAGUUAGCUGACAGACUCUAUUCCUCGGAAACCAUAAACCAAACUAAAACCUUUCUCCUGUAAGUUACCUUUGUCAGCGUAUUUCAUCAGAAUAGCAGAAAACUAACUAGUACAUCAUAUUUAAGUGGGGGAAAUCCCUGGUAUGGUGGUGUGCUCAGUUCUAGUGUUGUGGACGGACAGAAGGGUAAACCAUUGGGGCUUACUAACUAGCCAGCAUAGCCCGAUAAGCAAGCCCAUACCAGUGAGACACCCUGUCUCAACAAAACAAAACAAAACAAAACAAAACCAAGCCAAGCCAAGCCAAAGUGCAUUGCAGCUAAGAAUGACCCCUAAAGUUUUCCUUGGGCCUCCUUGAGUACAUGACACACAUGCCCAGUUACUCCUUGAGUACAUGACACACAUGCCCAGUUACUCCUUGAGUACAUGACACACAUGCCCAGUUACUCCUUGAGUACAUGACACACAUGUCCAGUUACUGGCACACACAUGUGCUCUGACACAUGAACACAUACCUAUAUGUAUAUAGAUGUAGACACAUUCCCACAGAAUAGCCAAAAGCAAGCUUCAUGGUAAAUGAGUUCAAAAUGUAAAUGAAAUUUUAAAAAUGCAACCACUUUAUAAUUUUUUACCUUGGAAAAGGACUCUACAUAGUUAAUAGGUUGUCUGCCAAGAAGAGGCAUAGAGAAUGAACUUGCUGGAGCCAAAGCAUCCAUGUAAGAAUGUUUAUCUUUCCUAGAUCCAAAUUUCUGCAGCUUCACUUAGUCUAACCACGAAAUACUUAUAUAAGGGACACACUGAUGAGCACAGCAACAUCACCGGAGUUUUAAGUAGGUUAAGACAGGAACAUUCCUUUAAAAGGCGUUUGAAGGACUGCAUUUUUAAAGCUUGUCGCUAUAGCCACAUGCUUUUUUAAAGCCAGAACCCUGCCCAUCUGCAUGCACAGAAAUAUUAAGUUAAUCACCCAAGAAGAGAUUUUUGAAAGCACUCUUAAGAUAUCUUUUAGUCUUAGAAAUAAGUCAGUCUUCGGGGAAAGAAGAGGCAAAUGAAACCUGAUUGUCUACUCCAGGAGAGCAUUAACAGCAAUGUCUUGCCGCAUCCCAAUUAAAAGGAGGGUCAAAGGUCAGUGAGAUGGUUCAGUACGUCAGGGCACUUCCUGUCAGGCCUAAAGGAACUGAGUUUGAUGCCCAGAAGCCACGUGGUAGAAGGUAGAAGGAGAGAACAGAGUCUUGAGAGUUGUCUACUGAUUUUCAUAUAUAGGUACUGGGUUCUCUCUCUCUCUCUCUCUUUAGCUGGUGGGGGGUGGGCAGGAGCUGGCCCUGAAUUGAAAUAGCGCGGGAAGAGAAUGCGAACAGGCCUACCUUAACGCUUUCCAGCCUCUCAGGGAGUCCAGGUCAGAGAUUAGGGAAACCAUUGUCUGAGAGCUGCGGAAAGAAGGCAAACCGGAGAGCAGAGGUGCCUGACAGGGCGACAGGGACGCAGGCAGAGGUGGCUCUGGGCUCAGGCCGGAGCAGCAGCGCCCAGCAGCUCGGCUCUUCCUCCUUCCAGGACUGAUAAGCGCUUGUCCU